rnacentral:lncRNA from 1 species
CAGGCUUCCCUGAGCCCCCUUGGCUCACACCAGCAGCAACGCCGGGUUCCAUGUGCAGAUAAGUGAUCCAUCUCAGUCUCUCCCAGCUGACAGGGAGUUGAAGGUUCUACUCUUGGCCCUGAUCCUAAUACCAGUGCCAAUAAUCGAGCACCUACUAUUUGCAAAACAUUGGGCCAGGAACUUGACCACAUCCUCCCUUCAUCCUCAGAACAACCCGUUAGGGAGGGCCUCCCUGUCCCCAUUUUCUAGAUGAGGAAAUGGAGGCUUUAGAGCAGCUAACGUGGCUUAUACAACCUGCCUGCAGAACCUUCCAGGUCUGAGCUGAGGUGUCAUCUCUGAACACCAGGCUGCUGCACUAACCAGAAGACCCCUCCCCACCUGCAGUGGCCUCGCUGCAUCGUAAGGAUGGAGGAGCUGUUGUCUCCACAGCUGACAGAAACUGAGAAAAUCAAGAUAAAGACGCCAGCAGACUCGAGGCCAGGUGUGAUAGCUCAUGCCUGUAAUCCCAGAACUUUGGGAGGCUGAGGUGGGUGGAUCACCUGAGGUCUGGAGUUCAAGACCAGCUUGACCAACAUGGAGAAACCCCGUCUCUACUAAAAAUACAAAAUUAGCCAGGUGUGGUGGUGGGCAACUGUAAUCCCAGCUACUCAGGAGGCGGAGACGGAAGAAUUCCUUGAACCGGGAGGCGGAGGUUGUAGUGAGCUGAGAUCGCGCCACUGCUCCCCAGCCUGGGCCGGAGCCAGACUGUGUCUCAAAAACAAACAACAAAAUAAAACAAGAAAAGAUUUAAUGGAAGACCUCAAUAAGCCAUUGUAGGCUGUAAAAUUCACCUAGUCCAAUCUUUCAGAGUCGUUUUGGACUUGAUAGUAGCUCAGUACCAAGAUCAUUACAGAAGUUAAUACCAAUAAUAGCCAUUGAAUAUAUUGUCUCUAUAAUGUGGAUCAAAUUCUCAUUUGACUGUACUGACAUUGGUGAUAGAAGGUGCAACCUGAUUUACGCUGGGGUAUAUCAGGUGAUUAAAGUUAAGGCAGGCUAGAGAAAAAGUGAAAGCACUCAAAUUGCUGAUUUGGAGUGAAUGAUAAAGCAAUUUAAUACACCGUCUCUAAAGCAUCCGUUUUCGCCUGUCCGAAGAGUUUUAAAGGAUAUUUGGCCAGAAAAUUUCUACCAUGUGUCAGAAUAUUAAUUUGCAUGUAUGCAUUCAUAGUUCAUGGGAUAUUAUUUUAGUGGUUUUAUUAUAACUGCAUAGAAUGGUUUGCUUCUUACUGAAGAUCUUUCUUUUUUUCUUUCGUUCUUUCUCUUUCUUACAGCCAUAGGUGCUUUAAGUCAUUAAACUUUGAGCACUGUAAAAAUAUCUAAAGAGUGCUUAUUUUUAUAACAUUAAUACUCCAUUUGCAACUUUAAUUAUAGUUACUUCAUUUUUAAAAUCUCAGAAGAUAAUGAAAUAUGUAGAAUUGCCAAAACAAUUGAGAAAGCUCACUGCAUUCGUUUGGUAGAGCUGUCGUAACAAAGUGCCAUGGACUGGAUGGCUUAAACAGAAACUUACUUUCUCACAGUUUUAGAUGCCAAAAGUCCAAGAUUAAAGGUAUUGGUAGGUUUGGUUUCUUCUGAGACCUAUUCAAUUGGUCCAUAGACUGCUAUCGUCUCCCCGUGUCUUUACAUCGUCAUUUCUCUGUAUGUGUCUGUGUGUAAAUGUUCUCCUCUUAGAAGCACGCCAGUCACAUUGGAUUAGGACGCACCCUACUGACCUUAUUUAACCUUAAUUGUGUACUUCUCUAAAGACCUUGUCUCCAAGUAUAGAUACUCCGUGAUAUUGAGGGUUAGGACUUCAACACAUGAAUUUGGCGGGGGUGGGUGGGCACAAUUUAGCUCAUAAAACUCACUAAGGUUUAAUUAGGGCAUGGACUGUAGAGCAUUCUACUGUUAAUUUAGUUUUUGUGUUUGGAAAGCAUUUUGAAACAUAAUGAUUUUUAUUUACAAUUUCAUUAUUUAUAUUUUCAUUAUGUUUAGGGUUGCUUGGAGGUAAAUGAAGAAAGAAGAGUUCCGCAUUAGUGAGGCAGGGAUGUCAGUAUAUAAGGAAUUGGAAAGACAUCAGUGAUAAUGGCAAAAGCUGCUUAUAAAUUAAAUUAAGAGCUUAAUUAAACUGAGGAAAAAAGCAUAUUGCCAAAUUACAUGCAGUUGUUUUGUAACAGCAUUUGUCCACUUGCUGUGCCCUGAGAUUUCCAAGGCACAUUCCUCUACUAAGCGUAUUAUAAGAUGAUUAAAUAUGCAUAGUACAAGUAUGUUAUGGAAGGCUGUGUUAACUGAUAUAGUGGGACCACAAUAGUAUGUGUAAGUGAGAUUUGGAAAAUUUGAUAUGCCAGCAAGGACAAAGAAGUGUUGAAUUUGCAAGUUUAUGCACAUAAUUCUGAGAAUCCAGGCAGCUAUUUCUCCUUUUGAAUUGUUCUCUUGGCUAGGGGAUAAGGGUGAGACACAAUACACAUUUGAAUGUGUCACUGUGUAAGUUACCACUGCAAUAUCUUCUGUAUGUUGAAAAACUGGUACUUAUAUGUACUAAUACUAUCUACCAUGAAAAAAACAAUUAAAAAUUUAAAAUAUCAUGUAAAUUAAAUAAAGUUCAAAUACCACUAGCCAGAAAAAAAUAUUUUAUAUUAUAGUCUGGGGUCAGAAGAGGAAAACCUUAUGUAAAGUAUCAAAAUUAAUUUUUAUUUCAAUUUAAAUGCACCAUCAUAUAACAUAGUUUCAUAACUGAAAUUACAUUUGUCAGAAUUUGAUCUUUUCAUUAUUAAAGAAUUG